UACGUAGGGGGCUAGCGUUGUCCGGAUUUACUGGGCGUAAAGAGCGCGCAGGCGGUCGUUCAAGUCGCGUGUGGAAGCCCCCGGCUCAACUGGGGAGGGUCACGCGAUACUGAUCGACUCGAAGGCAGGAGAGGGAAGUGGAAUUCCCGGUGUAGUGGUGAAAUGCGUAGAUAUCGGGAGGAACACCAGUGGCGAAGGCGACUUCCUGGCCUGUUCUUGACGCUGAGGCGCGAAAGCUAGGGGAGCAAACGGG
rnacentral:rRNA from 1 species